GAAUCCCGUCUUUGACAUGGACUGCCAGUGUGUUGUGGUGUGCUCUCAAAGAGUCGAGUUGUUUGGGAAUGCAGCUCUAAAUGGGUGGUAAACUCCAUCUAAAGCUAAAUAUUGGCGAGAGACCGAUAGUGAACAAGUACCGUGAGGGAAAGAUGAAAAGGACUUUGGAAAGAGAGUUAAACAGUAUGUGAAAUUGUUGAAAGGGAAACGCUUGAAGUCAGUUAUGUUGGCUAGGGAUCAACCUAGCUACUUUUGCUGGGUGAAUUUCCUAGUCUUACAGGCCAACAUCAGUCUUGACUGCUAGAAAAGAGCAGAGGGAAUGUGGCACCUUUGGGUGUGUUAUAGCCCUUUGUCAUAUGUGGCAGUCGGGACUGAGGGAUGCAGCAUGCCGCGAGGCUGGGUUUCUGACCACGUUCAUGCUUAGGAUGUUGGCUUUUAAUGGCUUCAAUCGACCCGUCUUGAAACACGGACCAAGGAGUCUAACAUGCCUGCAAGUGUUUGGGUGGGGAAAACCCUUGUGCACAAUGAAAGUGAAAGUUGAGAUCCCUGUCAUGGGGAGCAUCGACGCCCGGACUUGAGCUUUUAGCGACGGAUCCGCGGUAGAGCAUGCAUGUUGGGACCCGAAAGAUGGUGAACUAUGCCUGAAUAGGGCAAAGCCAGAGGAAACUCUGGUGGAGGCUCGUAGCGAUUCUGACGUGCAAAUCGAUCGUCAAAUUUGGGUAUAGGGGCGAAAGACUAAUCGAACCAUCUAGUAGCUGGUUCCUGCC
rnacentral:rRNA from 1 species